rnacentral:rRNA from 1 species
UACGAAGGGGGCUAGCGUUGUUCGGAAUUACUGGGCGUAAAGCGCACGUAGGCGGACUAUUAAGUCAGGGGUGAAAUCCCGGGGCUCAACCCCGGAACUGCCUUUGAUACUGGUAGUCUAGAGUCCGGAAGAGGUGAGUGGAAUUCCGAGUGUAGAGGUGAAAUUCGUAGAUAUUCGGAGGAACACCGGUGGCGAAGGCGAUGGUCUGGGCCGGCACUGACGCUGAGGAGCGAAAGCGUGGGGAGCAAACAGG